rnacentral:rRNA from 1 species
GACGUAGGGCGCGAGCGUUGUCCGGAUUUAUUGGGCGUAAAGAGCUCGUAGGCGGCUUGUCACGUCGGGUGUGAAAGCCCGGGGCUUAACCCCGGGUCUGCAUUCGAUACGGGCUAGCUAGAGUGUGGUAGGGGAGAUCGGAAUUCCUGGUGUAGCGUUGAAAUGCGCAGAUAUCAGGAGGAACACCGAUGGCGAAGGCAGGUCUCUGGGCAUUAACUGACGCUGAGGAGCGAAAGCAUGGGGAGCGAACAGG